rnacentral:rRNA from 1 species
AUUGAACGCUGGCGGCAUGCUUUACACAUGCAAGUCGAACGGCAGCACGGGUGCUUGCACCUGGUGGCGAGUGGCGGACGGGUGAGUAAUACAUCGGAACGUAUCCAGAAGAGGGGGAUAACGCAUCGAAAGAUGUGCUAAUACCGCAUAUUCUCUGAGGAGGAGAGCAGGGGGAUCGAAAGACCUUGCGCUUUGGGAGCGGCCGAUGUCUGAUUAGCUAGUUGGUGGGGUAAAGGCCUACCAAGGCGACGAUCAGUAGUUGGUCUGAGGGGACGACCAGCCACACUGGGACUGAGACACGGCCCAGACUCCUACGGGAGGCAGCAGCGGGGAAUUUUGGACAAUGGGCGCAAGCCUGAUCCAGCAAUGCCGCGUGAGUGAAGAAGGCCUC